ACGAGUCCGAGUUCCGGGACAAGCUGUCGCCCAUCCCGGUGUCGCUGAGCCUGGCCCUGGACCCGGCCGUGUCCCCUCCCCCGCCCGGGCUGUCCCCGCUGCUGUCCCCGGCCACGCGCACGCGCCUGGAGGCCAAGGCUCACAUCCAGCUGGACUGUGGAGAGGACAAUGUCUGUGUCCCCGACCUGCAGCUCGAGGCCACCGCGGACCGGCGGGCCGUGUACCGGGG